rnacentral:rRNA from 1 species
UGCCGCUUGCGAGGGCGUAUGGUGGAUGCCUUGGCAGACAGUACCGAUGAAGGACGUUUGAGGAUGCGAUAAUCCUAGGGGAGCCUCCAACAUGGCUUUGAUCCUAGGGUCUCCGAAUGGGGGAACCCGCCGGCCGUCAUGGGCCGGCACCGCCUAUGGGCGGGGGGUACGCAGGGAAGUGAAACAUCUCAGUACCUGCAGGAAGGGAUACUCCGUGAGUAGUGGCGAGCGAAAGCGGAUCAGACCAAACCGGUUGCGCGUGAUACCCGUCGGGGGUUGCGUUGCCGGUGUCGUGGGAUCACGUGUCCCGGUUCCGACGGGCCGGGCGGGAGUCAUAAAACGGCUUGCCAGGGGAACAGGCUUGAAGGCCUGGCCGUAGAGGGUGCCAGCCCCGUACCUGGACGUGAGCCGUCUUCCGAUCGUGUUGUCCCAAGUAGCGCGGGCCUCGUGGAAUCCCGCGUGAAUCAGCCCAGACCGUUGGGUAAGUCUAAGCAUACCUGUCUGACCGAUAGCGUACCAGUACCGUGAGGGAAAGGUGAAAAGCACCCCGGGAGGGGAGUGAAACAGUUCCUGAAACCGUGCGCCCACAAACCGUCGGAGCCUCCGUGUGGGGUGACGGCGUGCCUAUCGAAAAAUGAGUCUGCGAGUCAGUGGCGGGUGGCGAGCAUAAGCCGUGUGGCGUAUGCGUAGCGAAAGCGAGUCUUAAAAGGCGUUUGUAGUCGCUUGUCCUGGACCCGAAGCGGGAUGAUCUAGCCCUGGGCAGGUUGAAGCGCGGGUAAGACCGCGUGGAGGACCGAACCCACCUGGGUUGAAAACCGGGGGGAUGACCUGGGGCUAGGGGUGAAAGGCCAAUCAAAUUCCGUGAUAGCUGGUUCUCUCCGAAAUGCAUUUAGGUGCAGCGUCGGUCGAUUGCGUCGCGGGGGUAGAGCUACCGGAUGCUUGCGGGCCCUUGUUGGGUACCAACAGCAGCCGAACUCCGAAUACCGUUGACGUGUAUUCCGGCAGUGAGUCGGCGGGGGAUAAGCUCCGUCGUCGAGAGGGAGACAGCCCAGACCGUCGUCUAAGGUCCCGAAGCGUGUGCUAAGUGGGAAAGGAUGUGGAGUCGCAUAGACAGCCAGGAGGUUGGCUCAGAAGCAGCCAUCCUUGAAAGAGUGCGUAACAGCUCACUGGUCUAGUGGUUCCGCGCCGACAAUGUAGCGGGGCUCAAGCACACCACCGAAGACGCGGCAGCAAUCUUCAUGGUUGCUGGGUAGGAGAGCGUCCUGCGAGGGGCGAAGCGGCGGUGGAAACCGGCCGUGGACUUCGUGGGAGUGAGAAUGCAGACAUGAGUAGCGAGAGACGGGUGAGGAUCCCGUCCGCUGGAUGACCAAGGGUUCCGGGGCCACGUUCGUCGUCCCCGGGUGAGUCGGGUCCUAAGGCGAGGCCGACAGGCGUAGUCGAAUGGAUGAACGGGUGGAUAUUCCCGUACCGACCAUGGACCGGCAAAACCGAGACGGUGAGUACUAACCUCCGCCUCGUGGUGGUUCCUUCCUUCGGGUUGGUGUCGCCGCGUGGUGUUGGGAGCGUAGCCGCAGUAGGUCAGCGCAGGGGUGACACGGAAUGGGAGCCGGCCGCGGAGGUGGUUUUCCGUGGUCAAGCACGCAGCCAGUCAUGUAGGCAAAUCCGCAUGGCGCGCAUGGCGAGGUGUGAUGAUGGGAGCCGUUAUGGCUCGAUAUCCGGUUGUCCAGGCCGUCGAGAAAAGCCUCGGCGUGAGGGCCAUGGCCGCCCGUACCCCAAACCGACACUGGUGGUCAGGUAGAGAAUACCAAGGCGAUCGAGCGAAUCCUGGUCAAGGAACUCGGCAAAUCACUCCCGUGCCUUCGGUAUAAGGGAGACCCGCUGGGGUGAACCGGCUAGCCCGGGGAGCUUUGGUGGGUGGCACAGACCAGGGGGUAGCGACUGUUUACCAAAAACACAGGUGCAUGCGAAGGCGAAAGCCGCUGUAUAUGCACUGACGCCUGCCCGGUGCCGGAAGGUUAAGAGGAUCCGUCAAUCCCUUCGGGAUGAAGCGGUGAAUUCAAGCCCCGGUAAACGGCGGUGGUAACUAUAACCAUCCUAAGGUAGCGAAAUUCCUUGUCGGGUAAGUUCCGACCUGCACGAAUGGCGUAACGACUUCCCC